AAUUCGAUUGAGUUUGAUCAUGGCUCAGGAUCAACGCUGGCGGCGUGCCUAAUGCAUGCAAGUCGAACGCGCGGUCUUUCGGGGUCGCGGCGUGGCGGACGGGUGAGGAACGCGUGGGCAAUCUGCCCUGCAGGUGGGGGGUAGCCCGCGGAAACGCGGGGUAAUUCCGCAUGUGCUCGUCGGCCGAUGGGGCGGAUGAGGAAAGGGUCUUCGGACUCGCCUGAGGAGGAGCCUGCGGCCGAUUAGCUGGUUGGUGGGGUCACGGCUCACCAAGGCGAUGAUCGGUAGCUGGUCUGAGAGGACGGCCAGCCACAUGGGGACUGAGACACGGCCCCAACUCCUACGGGAGGCAGCAGCAAGGAAUUUUCCGCAAUGGGGGAAACCCUGACGGAGCAACGCCGCGUGUGGGAUGACGCUUUUCGGAGUGUAAACCACUUUUCUUGGGGACGACGAGCGACGGUACCCGAGGAAGAAGGACCGGCUAACUACGUGCCAGCAGCCGCGGUAAUACGUAGGGUCCGAGCGUUGUCCGGAGUUACUGGGCGUAAAGCGCGCGCAGGCGGCCCCGCAAGCAUGGCGUGAAAGCCCCCGGUUCAACCGGGGAGAGUCGUCGUGGACUGCGGGGCUUGAGGGCGGUAGGGGUUGGUGGAAUUCCCGGUGUAGUGGUGAAAUGCGUAGAGACCGGGAGGAACACCCGUGGCGAAGGCGGCCAACUGGGCCGACCCUGACGCUGAGGCGCGAAGGCGUGGGGAGCGAACGGGAUUAGAUACCCCGGUAG
rnacentral:rRNA from 1 species